GAUGAACGCUGGCGGUCUGCUUAACACAUGCAAGUCGAACGGAAUCCCUCGGGAUUUAGUGGCGGACGGGUGAGUAACACGUAAGAACCUGCCUCUAGGACGGGGACAACAGUUGGAAACGACUGCUAAACCCGGAUGAGCCGAAAGGUAAAAGAUUUAUCGCCUAGAGAGGGGCUUGCGUCUGAUUAGCUAGUUGGUAAGGUAAAGGCUUACCAAGGCGACGAUCAGUAGCUGGUCUGAGAGGAUGAUCAGCCACACUGGGACUGAGACACGGCCCAGACUCCUACGGGAGGCAGCAGUGGGGAAUUUUCCGCAAUGGGCGAAAGCCUGACGGAGCAAGACCGCGUGGGGGAGGAAGGUUCUUGGAUUGUCAACCCCUUUUCUCAGGGAAGAAAAAAAUGACGGUACCUGAGGAAUCAGCAUCGGCUAACUCCGUGCCAGCCGCCGCCGUAAAAC
rnacentral:rRNA from 1 species